GAGCGGCCGGGGCGGGCGCUGCGUCAGGCCCCGGUGUGCCCCCCCCUCGCCGCGCCCCCCACCGCGUGUGGUCGGCGCUCCGAGCGCGAGUUGUACUAAACUUCAGUUUUUCAGGCUCCAGAUACCCCAUUAGACAUAGCAAGGCUGGAAGAGCCGUAGGAGUUCGCUCCUCCCGCGGCACCUUCGGGCGCUGCUACCUGCGCCGCCGCCACCUGUGCCGGCCCCGCCGAAAACCGUCGGGGACUCCAGGUGUCGAUGGAAGAGAAACAAUUGCAUUGUCUUCAAUAUUAAGGACUUAAAGCUUUUAUACAGAAGUCUGACAGUGCCAAACUGCUUAGCUGCUAAGUUGCAAUGUGUUGUGUGAGAUAUUCUACUGUGACUGGAUCGUCAACAAUCAGUUUAUGGCUCUGAUGUUCCAUCCUGGCUCUGUUAAUCACUACUCUAGCACCAGCAGCCAGGUCUGCAUAAUCAUCAUGAUAAAAAGAAAUCACAAAGACUCUUCCAUUAAUUAACAGCAAAUCAUUAUUCAAGAAAGAGCAACCUAUUACAUUUUUCUUAAAUCAGAAACUGCUGAAAAAGCAAUGUAGAUGGAGACAGAAAACACAAAUUUGAAGCAGUAUAUAGAAGUAACUUUCUUAUUCUGAGAAAUUUUUAUAUAAAUUUCAGGCCAUAACAGCUUUUAAGGAAAGUGGAUUUAUAGUAUUAAGUAUGGAUUUAACUCCUCCAAAAACACAUUCUGAAAAAAAACUGUCCCCUACUGUAGAUGCCAUACUUCAUGGUGAUGGUGUUGUACCACUCUCUCCACCACGCAGUGCUAGGAAACUGGAGGAACAGCAUUAUCACAGUCUAUAAGAACAGAGGGUUGCUGAAGUACAUCCUUAUUCUUGUGCAUUACUAGCUAGUAUAGAAAAUCCAAGGCAGUUUCACAUUUUAAUUUCCCUGAUAGUAAAUCCUGUUUAACAGGUUUCUGAUUUUCCACUUCCCUAGUCAUGCCCUGACAUAGCCCUUCACCCUCCUAUUCUGCUACAAAUUCAGCCACUUGUAAGUCAAUGAAAACAUUCAGCUUAAAAAAGUAAAUACUUUUUUUUUUAAGUUGGAUCUUUUUUUUUUUUUUUUUUUGAGCUGAUUACUAUAAACAGCUGUAAACUUCUUCCGUCACUUGGAAGCUCCAUUUUGGGGAGCAUCUCCAUGGUCAGUAUCAGUCAGUCAAAGACAACACUGCUACAGAAAGAGGUGAUUCCCCUGUGCUCUGUCUCUUAAGUGUAUCUUCUCAGUCUCUCUCUGUGUCAGCACAAGCCGUUCUACAGUUCCAUGUUAAGUCAGAUCACUGUGUUGGUAUAACUCAAAAUUAAGCUGAGUUUUAUUUUCAUCUCUUGUGAAAGCAACCUAAGAGGAUGCUUUCACAUUAUAAUAACAUGAUCUAAUUGGAGGUGGCAACAAAAAGCAACAGUUCUGUCCUUCCCAUACACUUCCCAUACAUUCCUGAAGCUUCCCUUGUGCUGGAUUUAACAAUCACACAACUUUAUGACAACUCACAAAAAAAAAGAUACCUUUUUCAUCAGAUCAGUGAGUUUAGGACUAUCUCCUUCAGUAACAGCUUGCACUCACAGUAGGCUAAGUAUAGCACCAAGUUGUACCCUUAGUGUGAGGUUAUACAACACAGCUGAACCACUCUCAUAGUCUGACCAUUAACAAUGGACGUCCCACCCCAGCUUCUUCUUUCAAUUUCUGUUUCCGUUAUGCAGUUUGGAGGUUCAAAUAGUUGCACAUUGAAUCAAUUUAACAAGCUAACCCAGCAAAACAUUUGAAGAUUUUUCCUGUGAUGUUCGUGAAUUGAAUCAACUUGGAAGAGGUCAAGGAAGCAUCAGAAACAGCACCAAGGAGGAGAUGAAAAUGCAAAGCUUAGAGCAGAGACAGGAGGAAGGAGAAGCGCUCCCCAGGAGCAUGCACUUGUGUGAGAGUUUAAACUCAUCUAAACCAGUGCUACUGUGACGCUCUCCUGUGGAUUGUUUACCCUUUCAUGGAGCCUUUGCUGACUCUUACCUGCCCUGAGUAAGCCAGUGCAAAAAAAUCUUUUCUUCCUGUCUCAGCUUACUGCCACGCAGGUCUCUAACCUGGCUCACCAUGGCUUAGCAAGCCAUCAAAGCCAGCACAGAAACAACUGUGGGAGAGCACAGCCAGGAGCAAGACCUUUGCCUUCUGGUGACAACCAGCCACUACCAGUCAGUUUAGUGGAAACACAAAACUGCACCUUGAUAUGAGAUGUAUGCUUAGGCAGUUUUGCUAACCAAUCUGCUGAGUUUCCACACAGUCUUCUCUUCAUUCAACCCUUAUCUGAAGGAAGAUACUCCUUGGGGAGGCAAAUGUUCUCAAGUGUUAUUGCACAGAGGUUCCAUACAUGAAAGGAGACAAGCACCAAUUUGAGCCUAAAGUUAUCUCCUAACUAUCCACGAGUGUUUCCAAUAUCAUCCUGGUUUAUUUUGCUGAAUUUGAGCCCUAUGUUUGCCUUUUUUCUCCCCUUUAGUGUGCUUUUUGCUGCUGCAACCAGUCAGGAGCAACUUCUGCUAUCCAAGGCUUGUCCCGGCUGAAGAGACACAAAUAAAGCUGAGUAAGAUGAUUGAAAAAAUAGUAAGAGAUCAAUCAAGUUUUAAAGAUCAAAAUAUUUCCCACUGGCCCCAUAAGGAUCUUUCAGCUAUAUUCAAACUGAUUAUGUAUGAAACUAAUACCUUCAUACCCUAAUACCAGUCUCUCAAACCACCCUGUCCACCUUCACAGUAUUUUUCAUAAAUCCAGUCUUUAAAGACACAGCCCCACAUCUGUAAUGGGAUGCUCUAUGGAACAGUAACACUGGAAACAAUGCCUGCAAAAGCCAAAAAGAUUGGAUCACCAGGCGCAUAAAGCUUCCUCACAGAUCUUUCUUCUUGAAGCUUGGCAACAGAUUUUUCUUCUAUCCCCAGCACAACUUUAUCCAGCCCUCAAAUUCCAAAAUGUUAAAUCAGAAUAAAAAGAACAGUAUUUCCAA